rnacentral:rRNA from 1 species
GGUCAAGCGAAUAAGCGCACACGGUGGAUGCCUUGGCGGUCAGAGGCGAUGAAGGACGUGGCAGCCUGCGAAAAGUAUCGGGGAGCUGGCAACAAGCUUUGAUCCGGUAAUGUCCGAAUGGGGAAACCCACCCGCUUGCGGGUAUCCUGCAGUGAAUACAUAGCUGCUGGAAGCGAACCUGGUGAACUGAAAUAUCUAAGUAACCAGAGGAAAAGAAAUCAACCGAGAUUCCGUAAGUAGCGACGAGCGAACGCGGACUAGCCCUUAAG